AGACAGAAGAGAACACAUUGGGACAGGCUGCCAGAUCUCUGGGAUGCUUAUGUCACAAUUCUAAAAUUAUGUCAAGAACCACACUGAGAGAGGGAGAAAAUAGAGGGUUUUAGUACAUGAUCAAAACUGUGACCCAAAUGGCAUUACAGAAUCCUAGUGAGACAAUUCAAUGCCAUAACAGCAGUAAUAAGACAUAACAAUCACUCAAAAGAGACAAGUUGUGGAAGGAGCGAACAGGAAAGCAGGGAGAAAGAAUAGGAAGGUUAAAAGCUCUUGCUAUUAAGGCCCUAUGUAUUUGGAGUUGGGUCUGAAAAGAUAAAAACGAUGGACCUAGAGUAAACUUAAAAGGGGCAAAAACAAGGAGAAUGUUCAGAAACAGAGCCUACCACAGAGAACUAAAUGAAGAUAAGGUAGCUUUUUCUAAACAGAUAACAUAAAUAGAACCAACUUAUGAUGGGAGAUUUCAUAACCCAGCCAGCCAAUGUAAAGAAAAAGGGCAGCAUCCCAAUGAUAAGCACAUGCGCUAGUUGCAAAGCCAUUCCCUCUACACCAGGAUUGCCAGAAAUCUGGCCACCACCAAAAUCAUUACACAAAAUCUGCACCUGAUUCUACAAAGAGCUAAGCAACUUUUCUCUGAAGUGACACUGUUGCAAGAAUUCUGAAGGGCAAGGAAAUUGGCAAGAUUAUGAACAUGCAAAGAGAAGAAAAUGUUUGAGUGUUCUAGGUCUGAAGCAAAGGUAAUCACUGCAGCUUUACCUUGGCCAGCUUCUCUUGUAACUCCUGGAUUUUGAGCUGCUGCUCAGCAUUCACCUAUAAUGAUAAGCAAAGGAAAUAAAACAAAAACUAAACCAAUUGAG